rnacentral:rRNA from 1 species
GUGCCAGCAGCCGCGGUAAUACAGAGGGUGCAAGCGUUACUCGGAAUCACUGGGCGUAAAGGACGCGUAGGCGGAUUAUCAAGUCUCUUGUGAAAUCUAGUGGCUUAACCACUAAACUGCUUGGGAAACUGAUAAUCUAGAGUAAGGGAGAGGCAGAUGGAAUUCUUGGUGUAGGGGUAAAUCCGUAGAGAUCAAGAAGAAUACUUAAUUGCGAAGGCGAUCUGCUAGAACUUAACUGACGCUAAUGCGUGAAAGCGUGGGGAGCAAACAGGAUUAGAUACCCUGGUAGUCCACGCCCUAAACGAUGUAUACUGGUUGUUGGCUAUGGCUAGUCAUGGCAGUAAUCCACCUAACGGAUUAAGUAUACCGCCUGGGGAGUACGG